rnacentral:siRNA from 1 species
AUCAUGGGGAUCUAUUUGGCCGC